rnacentral:ncRNA from 1 species
UUAUCAGAGAGUUUGAUCCUGGCUCAGGAUGAACGCUGGCGGCGUGCUUAACACAUGCAAGUCGAACGAGGGAUUUUGGAUGAGACUUCGGUGGAUUCCAAAAUACCGAGUGGCGGACGGGUGAGUAACGCGUGGGCAACCUGCCCUGUACAGGGGGACAACAGCUGGAAACGGCUGCUAAUACCGCAUAAGCGCACGGUAUCGCAUGAUACAGUGUGAAAAACUCCGGUGGUACAGGAUGGGCCCGCGUUGGAUUAGGUAGUUGGUGGGGUAACGGCCUACCAAGCCGACGAUCCAUAGCCGACCUGAGAGGGUGACCGGCCACAUUGGGACUGAGACACGGCCCAAACUCCUACGGGAGGCAGCAGUGGGGAAUAUUGCACAAU